GGUUUGAUGGCGUAGUUGGUUAUCGCAUCUGUCUAACACCCAUAGUGUCAAGGUUCACAGAAGGUCCCCGGUUCGAGCCCGGGUCAAAUCA